ACAGAUUGCUCUUCAGUGGCAGUGAGAGGAGACCUAAUGCAGAGGCUGCACAGUGGUGCUGGGAUUCUAUAACCAACAACAAAAGCAACACCCUCAUUACCGACACUCCUGCAGCUCAAACUACUUUGCCUUUGUGCGUUGGAAACCCAACCCAAGCCCAUUUUCCCCACUGGAAUUAUUUGUGAUGAUGUGAAGUUUUUGGAGAUGCAACCAUCCCAGAACAGGCACGCUCAGAUGAGAAGACGUGGGAGACACAGUUCUAGCAAACAGUUCUACCGCUCAGAGCAAAGCCUACGUCACACAGCCUCUAGGGUCUGGGCACAGUGUGGGGACAGGAGGGCUGGCCGCCCUGCCUCUUGAAAGGAAUACGCAGCUCUGCAGGUUCAAGCCACCCAGCUGAAGUCCUCAAACUGGGUAACACGGGCCAAGAUGCCACCUGCACGUGUCCUGCUACAUCACCAUGGAUCUGGCCAAGGAGCCACCACCCCCUCGGAGCACGCAUGCUGGGGUUGUCAAGGAGACCAGUGCACAGGACGGCCGCACCCAGGGCUGGAGACCGGCAGCGCAGGACAGCUGCAUCCAGGGCUGGAAGACAGACUCGAGUUCUGACCCAUCUUUCAAUGGGAGAGAAAGAAUCCAAUCCCCUGCUAGGGCCACAAGGACAUGAUGGGUUUGGAUGCCAUAAGAGAUGAGAACACUCCAAGCUGAAGAUAACCAGAUAAGGGCCUCUUUGAUUUCCCGUGUGUUUACACAAGCUGUGGCCCCAAGUCUUGGAAAGAAUCAACCACCGCCAGGCAAGUCAGGACGCCUCCAGGUGGGGUGAGGGGAGACGGCCGCCUUACCUGCUCCUGGGAAUUCAUCACUCGAAGCUUCAUCUGCUUCAGGUAGGUGGAGGUGAGGGGCAUGUUGUAAUCAAUAAUCCCAGAGACCAGUGGAGAUGGAGGCUCGUUUUCUGGCAGAAAGAACAAAAGGAAAGCCCUUUCAGUCUGUGCUGCGGGCCUGUUGCCCACAUGGAGCAUUUAACAGAGCCCGUGGAAGAGGAAGCCACCUUGGAGGAGAAGGGACAGGUCAGAGGUCGCAGACUCUGUGGCUCACCCACAUCUGGCCCAGAGAUGUGGACUGCAUGGUGUCAAAAAUAUUUUUUUUUUAUUAAAUGCCAGUGUUCUAUUUAGAGAUUUCACACGUUAAAAAACAAUGAGGCCGGGCGUGCUGGCUCAUGCCUGUAAUUCCAGCACUUUGGGAGGCCAAGGCAGGAGGAUCCCUUGAGCCCCAGGAGGGGACACAGGCCCCAGGAGUUCGAGACCAGCCUGGGCAACACAGGGAGAUCUCGUCUUUACAAAUAAUAAAAUAAAUUAGCCAGACGUGGUGGUGUGUGCCUGUAGUCCUAGCUACAUAGGAGGCUGAAGUGGGAGGAUCGCUUGAGGCCAGGUGGUCAAGGCUGCAGUCUGCAGUGAGCUGUGAUGGCACCACUGCACUCCAGCCUCAGCAACAGAGUGAGAAUCUAUCUCUAAAAAACAAACAAAAAAACCCAGCAAACCCACCCCCACAACACACACACACGUUUAUAGGAAUUUUUGGCUUCUUUGAAGAACAUAAGGUCUGGCCACAUGGGGCCCCCACUCCCGAAGGCAAGCAACCACUGCCACUUCAGCAGCCACUUCUUUUAGACAGGGUGUGUGGCUCCCAUUUUGCCACAGUCCCCACCACUCCUUAUCAUAUUGCACAGCUUUGCUCAUUUGCAAGUAUCAAUUAUGAUACUUGCCAGACCC
rnacentral:lncRNA from 1 species